ensembl:lncRNA
GGGCUGGGCAGACACAAAAGAAGUCCACCACAUCCUACUAAGUAUAAAGUGCUGAAUUACGGCUGUACAACCCUGGUUCCUUUAAGUGCUCCUCACGUGAACAUUUUAGAGUUCAAGCCAUAUCAGAACUAAGAAGAGACUGUUAAGUUUAGCAGUUAUUGGUUCAGUGGUGACUUUCCAUAAGAGGUGUGUUUGAAUCACAGCGGACCUCCUGUUGGAGAGGUAGUAUGGAGGAAAAGGAAGAGGAUGAGGAAGAGGAGGGCUGCACUUGGGGGUCGGACGACCCCGCUUUGAAUCUUUGCUCCACAGUAAAUCUCCUACAUAUGAACCUUCAAGUUGCGAAUUUUCAAAGAUGAGAACACAUGUUCCGUCAGUGUCAGGCGUGAGGGAAAUGGCAACUUGCCCUUCCUCUCCUAUUGCCGCUGAUCCUUCAACGCUACCAUCUCUCACCUCCUCUCCCUCCUCUGGUCGGUAACUCUUCUUCUCUGUUCAUUCAAUGUCAGCCCCUGUAUGCAAGCUGUUGUACUG